rnacentral:lncRNA from 1 species
CAAACAUAAUAAUACACUUUACAGGUACAUCUCAUUAUAUUUUUGUUGUUGUUGUGACCACGUGUGAGAUGAAUCUUCAGUCAUUCGGUAAGUUUCUCACAAGUUAUACAUUGUAUUUUUGUUUCAUAUAAAGCAGAUAUAUUGGGUACUGUAACAUCAUGGUAUUUUUUUUACAUCUACAGAUUUAGUUUGCAUUAACACACCUAGACAAACCUAUGCAACUAUAGAAUGAAAUUUUAGGCACGAAAAUUGAAUGCAUUUUAUUGAUCAGAAUAUAAAAUCUUUCUUUGAUUUUUAUGUGCAUAUUUUUUCGUUCCUUGAUUGUCAAAUACGCAAUUGAGUAAGUCACCAGAGAAAAUUUUAAAGAUGAUUAUAUAUAAAUAUAUAAAGGACGUAGACACUUGUAAGUAACAUGGUAAACAUUGAAGUUCUUUGUAUUGAUCGACACGAACAAUAGAGGACAAUAGAUAACAUCUACACAUCCAAUGAAUAAUUAAAUGCUAUACAGAAACCAAAUGAAAUCCACGCUUUUAUCUAUUUCACGGAAUACUCUUUAAAAAGUUAUCUCAAAUUAAAAAAAUAGUUGUAAUUUUUUUCCGAAAUCAAUGAAAUUUGAAAUUUGAAAAAGACUAGACAGGAGUUUGGAAGAAAAUAAAACAAGAUGGACAACUUUGCAAAAACAAAAGGCGGAUAACAAUUUAUGUAAAAAAAAAAGUCACAAUAUGCAAAAAAUAAAAAUGAAGGACAGAGAUAACAACCAAAAGAAAGCAUGGCAUCUUUCUUCCUAGACCCUAAUCCUAAGAGAGCUUCGAUAGGACUUAUCCAAUCCUUCUCAGUCAUAGAUAGGGAGCUGCCAUUUGAUUUUAAGAGGGAAGGAAGGUGAAUGGGCUAGGAUCAUGAGAAAUUUGAAAAAGGAAGGAACAGGAGUUUUGAGUAAAAAAGGCAGGAUGAGCAAUUUGUGAUCACUUGUCAAAACAAAAAAGUUAGGAUGAUUAUGUAUGUUAAAAAUUUCAAGAUGCAUGAUCAAUAAAAAAGUUCUCGGACCGAAUAGUGUGAGGAAAAGGCAGAACAGAGAUUACGACCUAAAGAAAAUGCAGGCCCAAAUGUUUCAUCCUUGUUUAAUCCCCCCUAAAAAUAAAAUGAUAGCUCCAUUACUCUUGCUAAAAUUGAAUCGUAGCUGUACGGGAAUUAGGACGAUACAAUUCUUGUGUGUAGAGAAAGAAACAUCAAACAACAAGCAAAAGUCCACAAAACACUUUUAAAUUACUGAAAACUAAAACAGAAUCCCACACUUUCCGCAAAAAAACAAAUGGACUAAACAUUUUGAUCUCUCUGGUCUGUCAGUUCAAAAACGAAAAGAACAGUUAUCGUAGUGAAUGCAAAGUAUAUCGUCUAGUCAUACUACUAGUACAUUUGUUUUUUGGGGAAAACACAUUUGAUUUAGGUGAAUUUUAGGCUUAAAUGAUAAAUAAAUAACAUUUCUGAUAUUUAGGAAAACACAACACGGGUACUACAUGUAAUUUAACAGUUGAUGCAGUAAAAUUUAAAUAUUAAAUUAACUUCUUUGCAAGAAACGUGGAAUACGUACAUAUAUAUACGAGUUCUACGGUUUGAAAUUGCCACAUAUAACCAAACGAUUUAUCAUUUUUACCUGUACAAAGUGAGACCAGUAAUGUAUCUAAAAUUGAUAAGAUUUGGAAUGAUGAGACAAGUAUCCACUACUACAACAGUGUGUUUACUUCCUUGGAAUCUAUUAGUAUAGUCUUAAAAAAAAACGACCCUUAAUAUAAUUACAGACCAAACUAUUCAGGACCUAAUUAUGCCGCAGUGAAAGCCAAAGACAAUGCUUACUGUCCGUACAGUGAUUUCCAUGUAGGUUCGGCUGUAUUGACUGAGGAUGGACACAUUUUUUCAGGU